CGGAUUGCAGUCUGCAACUCGACUGCAUGAAGCUGGAAUCGCUAGUAAUCGCGGAUCAGAAUGCCGCGGUGAAUACGUUCCCGGGUCUUGUACACACCGCCCGUCACACCAUGGGAGUCAGUAACGCCCGAAGUCAGUGACCGAACCGAGAGGACGGAGCUGCCGAAGGCGGGACGGAUAACUGGGGUGAAGUCGUAACAAGGUAUC
rnacentral:rRNA from 1 species